GACGUAGGGCGCGAGCGUUGUCCGGAUUUAUUGGGCGUAAAGAGCUCGUAGGCGGCUUGUCGCGUCGAAUGUGAAAACUUGGGGCUCAACUCCAAGCUUGCAUUCGAUACGGGCAGGCUAGAGUUCGGUAGGGGAGACUGGAAUUCCUGGUGUAGCGGUGAAAUGCGCAGAUAUCAGGAGGAACACCGGUGGCGAAGGCGGGUCUCUGGGACGGUACUGACGCUGAGACGCGAAAGCGUGGGGAGCGAACAGG
rnacentral:rRNA from 1 species